rnacentral:rRNA from 1 species
UGAGGAAUAUUGGUCAAUGGACGGAAGUCUGAACCAGCCAUGCCGCGUGAAGGAUGAAGGCGUUCUGCGUUGUAAACUUCUUUUAUCUGGGAAGAAACCACAGAUUUCUAUUUGUGUUGACGGUACCAGAAGAAUAAGCACCGGCUAACUCCGUGCCAGCAGCCGCGGUAAUACGGAGGGUGCGGGCGUUAUUCGGAUUUACUGGGUUUAAAGGGUGCGUAGGCGGGCUAUUAAGUCAGAGGUGAAAUCUCCGGGCUCAACCUGGAAACUGCCUUUGAUACUAUUAGCCUUGAAUUAUGUUGAGGUUGGCGGAAUAUAACAUGUAGCAGUGAAAUGCUUAGAUAUGUUAUGGAACACCGAUGGCGAAGGCAGCUGGCUAAACAUAUAUUGACGCUGAUGCACGAAAGCGUGGGUAGCGAAC